GCAUUCAGUAGAUACCCAGAACCACAGUGACCGUAAUGUUGCCAAGUAACGUUAAAUCAAAAAUUGGUUUUCAAAAAAGUGAAAAGAAAAAGAGAGAGAGGAAAGACAAAGGAAAGGGUGUCAAACUGUAACCCAGUUUUUCACCAAGAAAGCAGACCUAACAACAGAUGAGUCAGCAGCACCCCAUCUCCCCCUAACUGUGCCUCUCCCUGUCCCAGUGAAAAAGGUGAGCAACAUUGUGUUCAAUGACAUGCCAGUUAGCAUCAUUGCAGGGAGUCCGUGGGGAUUUCUCUGCUCUUUUUACCUUU